GACCUAUAAAAUAUUAAUCAUCAUUAGUCUAUCUUCCUAAUAAUCAUGACCACUGUCUAAUUACGGUAAUGACACAUUUAAGUACACUACCAAAUACAAAGAUACAUACUAUGCUAGCUAGAUAUAUUGAUGGUUGCGGGAUUCGAACCCGCGACCAAUUAGCUUAACAAAACACAUCGCGGUUCUCUACACAAAUACUAAAGUAAAGAAAACAUGUAAAGAAAUACUCAGUAAAGAAAACAUUACUUGAAAAUUAUUUGUCAGAACAAACUAAGUAUAAAAUAAAUGUAUAACAGUACUUACUCACAUUUUGCACAAUCGGGAGCUUGUUUCUUGCUAUUCACAAAGAAUCUCACAAAGUAAUUAAUUUUUUGCGGUGAAAUUCUGUAUUUAUGUGAUCAAUAAUAAAUUGUCAGCAAAAAUUAAGCUAAUUAGUUAAAACUAAAGUAACAAUAAAAUGAUAUACAAAUUUGGACCGUAUUUUUAUGUUCGAUAAGCACAGAAAAAAAAAUCACUAGCAAGUAGGUAUUACCUUUUGAAUUAAAAUAUUACCCAUACUUUGAUGUUACGUUUAAAGGAAAUAUGAUUGUGUUACACUAUGUUGCAGUAAAAGUGAAAUCAGAAUCUAAAGUAUGUAGGUUAAUUUCUUAAAUGGCUAGUCAAAUACUAAUUAUGUAGUAUUCCAAGUACCGAAUUUCCAUCAUUCUAUUUGUAAAGAGUUAAAUUGUAAUAAGCUACAUUGAUUUGAGUCUGCUUCCAACAGAAAACUAAUAAACCAACUAAUUUUACUCACGAUUUUAUUCGAUUUUAUUUUUCCUCACAAUGUUUACAUCUUUUUUACAAUGCAUUGUCAUUUAGAAAAAAAUUGACUUACUUUAUAAAGGUAGAUUUAACGGUAGAAGCAUUAUGUAUCAGUCACCAUUGAGUCACAUAGAAAGAUAAAAAGAAUUAUUAGUUUCAACUUGCAAUGCAACACGAAGUAAACAAUAAAAAUCUAAAGUUACAUGUCGUGCACACACAUUCAAAGCAUUUAAUGCUGAAUCUGCAAGUAAGCUGUGUGAGACCAGGAGCUGAGAUGUUUAAAUCGAUGUUUUAUUGAACAUUUGAAUAAAAUGUAUUUUAUUUUCAGAUUGGUUAAAUAUUGAUAUACAUUUUCAUUAAAUAUGAAAUAAAUGAUUUAAAAGAUUAUUUUAUUUUUGCAAUAUUAGAAAGAGUAAGUACUUAUAGUAGUAUAGUAGUAAAUGUACAAUAAAUAAAUGUCUAAUAGUCAUAAAUGUACAAUAAUGCAAAAUGUCAAAAAUUCGAAACAAAACUUUAAAACCAUUUUAAAAUGAACAGGUUUACAGAUAAAUAUAUAAAACUCUUACUCUUGGACUAUAAAUUGCAGCUCGUACAUUCCCACGAUCCACGCGAUGCAACGUACAGUGUGACAUUAGAUUUCAUCGAGUGCAAGUUCGUCAUGUACGUAAUAAUUAAAAAGUAUAAGUGCACAUUUUAAAAACUCUGUGAAACCAGUGCAGUAUUUCCUAAAAUGAGUACCUACUGCUCAGCAAGACAAUUAAAUAUCUACAAUAAUAAGCAGAAAACGUCGUUAUAGAUCUUGGUUAAAACAGAUCCCCAGUGACAUGAUUUAAUUAAUAAACUAAUUAAAUCGUGGAUAAGAAACUUCGACGAGAAGAAGAAUUGAUUUAUAUCAUCAAUAAUCGUAGUAAAAAAGGUCUUAAUUUAUUUCAAUUUAUAAUAAAUUAUGGUUGUGGUUGUUUUAUUUGAAUAAAAAAUCUCAAGGUAUGGUGUUACAUAAAGGUGAUGGUAUGGUUGUGCUAAAAACGGUAAAGGUAAAAGGGUAAGUAAUGGUAAACGGUAAUAAAAGGUAAUAGUAAUCAGGUACCUAAGAAAGAACAUUCAGAGAUAGAAUCUUGACAUAGCUCUUCAGCUGUGUAUGUUAGGUAGGAGGACAUUCAGUGAGAGAAUCUUACCAUGGGUCUUGAGCUGAAUGUGUUAGGCAGAACAAACGGUAAGAGAAUCUUACCAUGGGUCUCUGAAGAUACUUACCUCGGGUCUUCAACCGUUUGUGUUAGGAAGGACAUUCAGUAAGAUAAUCUUACCAUGGGUAUUAAGCUGAAUGUGUUAGGCGAUACAUUCAACAAAGGAAUCUUACCAUGGGUCCUGAGUUGUCUGUGUCAUAUUAGGCAGGACGUUCGGUGAGAGAAUCUUACCACGGGUCUCUCUGAAGAUACUUACCUCGGGUCUUCAGCCGUUUGUGUUAGGAAGGACAUUCAGUAA